CCUACGGGUGGCAGCAGUGAGGAAUAUUGGUCAAUGGGCGCGAGCCUGAACCAGCCAAGUCGCGUGAGGGAAGACGGUCCUAUGGAUUGUAAACCUCUUUUGUCGGGGAGCAAAAGACGCCACGCGUGGCGUUCCGAGAGUACCCGAAGAAAAAGCAUCGGCUAACUCCGUGCCAGCAGCCGCGGUAAUACGGAGGAUGCGAGCGUUAUCCGGAGUUAUUGGGUUUAAAGGGUGCGCAGGCGGAAGAUCAAGUCAGCGGUAAAAUUGAGGGGCUCAACCCCUUCGAGCCGUUGAAACUGGUUUGCUUGAGUGAGAGAGAAGUAUGCGGAAUGCGUGGUGUAGCGGUGAAAUGCAUAGAUAUCACGCAGAACUCCGAUUGCGAAGGCAGCAUACCGGCGCUCAACUGACGCUCAGGCACGAAAGUGUGGGUAUCGAACAGGAUUAGAUACCCUAGUAGUC
rnacentral:rRNA from 1 species